CUGGCGUAUUGUAUCCGACGGGAACAUCCCUUUGAAACCAAGGCAAGAGCAUUCCCGCGUAAUGCUGCCAGCAUUGUAACUCUCUUCCAAAUCCAGAUGAAAGAAGGAAGUUCAAUUUAUCAAGGAUCAAGGUUUGGACUACUAGACAGCACGCCGCCUUCGGUUUGAGCAUUCACCAAUAAGCGAAAGUUUCUAUGAUUAUAUGUUGUUUUACUCUGUCAAUUAUGGGGUAAAAAGGACACACCUUUAACAAUUUUGUGAUUGAAUUUAUA